rnacentral:piRNA from 1 species
UGGGAAUGAGUUCCAAGACCUGCCUGUGCAUC